CAGCCGCCACGGUAAUACGUAGGGUGCAAGCGUUAAUCGGAAUUACUGGGCGUAAAGCGUGCGCAGGCGGUUAUAUAAGACAGAUGUGAAAUCCCCGGGCUCAACCUGGGAACUGCAUUUGUGACUGUAUAGCUAGAGUACGGCAGAGGGGGAUGGAAUUCCGCGUGUAGCAGUGAAAUGCGUAGAUAUGCGGAGGAACACCGAUGGCGAAGGCAAUCCCCUGGGCCUGUACUGACGCUCAUGCACGAAAGCGUGGGGAGCAAACAGGAUUAGAUACCCCUGUAGUCCCUGUCUCUUUACA
rnacentral:rRNA from 1 species